UCAAGCUAAAAAGAGCACAGAGAGAAUGCCUUGGCAUUGGGAGCCGACGAAGGACGUGACAAGCUGCGAAAAGCUGCGGGGAGCUGCAAAUAAGCCCUGAUCCGCAGAUAUCCGAAUUGGGAAACCACCGUGAUGAAGAAUCGCGGAGCGUGCGCUGAAUAAAAUAGGCGUACGCGGGGAACCUUCCGAACUGAAACAUCUAAGUAGGAAGAGGAAAAGACAUCAACCGAGAUUCCGCAAGUAGUGGCGAGCGAACGCGGAGGAGGCCAAACCGGGAGUAGCAAUACAUCCGGGGUAAGGACCGCAGAGAGUACGGCAGAGCAUAGCAGAAUCACUUGGGAAAGUGAACCGAAGAAUGUGAGAGUCAUGUAAGCGAAAUGCGAAGCCGACCGGCGGUAUCCGGAGUAGAUGCGGACACGUGGAAUCCGCACCGAAGACGGGGGGACCACCCUCCAAGCCUAAAUACUACCCAAUGACCGAUAGUGGAGAAGUACUGUGAAGGAAAGGUGAAAAGAACCCCUGGCGGGGAGUGAAAGAGAACCUGAAACUCUGUGUUUACAAGCACACAAAGCGCGUCAAGGCGCGAUGUGGUACUUUUUGUAGAACGGUCCGGCGAGUUAUUGUAUGCAGCGAGGUUAAGUAUUUCAGAUACGGAGCCGAAGGGAAACCGAGGGUGAAGAGCCCGAGAGAGUUGCAUAUAAUAGACCCGAAACCGGGUGACCUAUCCAUGUGCAGGUUGAAGGUGGGGUAAAGCCUACUGGAGGACCGAACCGACCCCCGUUGAAAAGUUGGCGGAUGACGUGUGGAUAGCGGAGAAAUUCCAAUCGAACCCGGAUAUAGCUGGUUCUCCCCGAAAUAGCUUUAGGGCUAGCCUCGUAUAUGUUUACCGGAGGUAAAGCACUGAAUAGACGAGGGGCCGAGAGGUUACCAACUCUUAUCAAACUAAGAAUGCCGGAUAAACGAGUACGGGAGUCAGACUACGUGAGAUAAGUCUCGUGGUCAAAAGGGAAACAGCCCAGAUCUACAGCUAAGGUCCCAAAUAUACACUAAGUGGAGAAGGAUGUGGCAAUGCAGAGACAACCAGGAUGUUGGCUCAGAAGCAGCCACUCAUUUAAAGAGUGCGUAAUAGCUCACUGGUCUAGUGAUGCUGCGCCGAAGAUUUAACGGGGCUAAGUGUAUAACCGAAGCUUAGGCAGUUUUAAAACUGGGUAGGGGAGCGUUCCAUACCGGGCGAAGCAUAAGCGAAAGCGUGUGUGGACGGUAUGGAAGUGAGAAUGCCGGAAUGAGUAGCGAGAAUUGCGUGAGAAUCGUAAUGGCCGAAAAUCUAAGGUUUCCAGGGGUAGGUUCGUCCGCCCUGGGUAAGCUAGUAGGGAAGUGCGUAAGUCAUGUGGCGAGAAAAGGUAUAUGUACAUUGAAGGCGCCCGUACCGCAAACCGACACAGGUAGAUGAGGAGAGAAUCCUAAGGCCAACGGGAGAAGGGUUGUUAAGGAACUCGGCAUAUUAACCCCGUAACUUCGGGAUAAGGGGAGCCUCCGAAAGGAGGUCGCAGUGAAAAGGCCCAGGCGACUGUUUAACAAAAACAUAGGUCUCUGCAAAACCGAAAGGUGAGGUAUAGGGGCUGACGCCUGCCCGGUGCCGGAAGGUCAAGGGGAACACUCAGAGCAAUCGAAGGUGUGAACUUAAGCCCCGGUAAACGGCGGCCGUAACUAUAACGGUCCUAAGGUAGCGAAAUUCCUUGUCAGGUAAGUUCUGACCCGCACGAAUGGCGUAACGAUCUGGGCACUGUCU
rnacentral:rRNA from 1 species